rnacentral:rRNA from 1 species
UGCAAACUGCGAAUACCGGAGAAUGUUAUCACGGGAGACACACGGCGGGUGCUAACGUCCGUCGUGAAGAGGGAAACAACCCAGACCGCCAGCUAAGGUCCCAAAGUCAUGGUUAAGUGGGAAACGAUGUGGGAAGGCCCAGACAGCCAGGAUGUUGGCUUAGAAGCAGCCAUCAUUUAAAGAAAGCGUAAUAGCUCACUGGUCGAGUCGGCCUGCGCGGAAGAUGUAACGGGGCUAAACCAUGCACCGAAGCUGCGGCAGCGAACGUAUCACUUAAAGCGAUUCAGCGGGUUACGAUUGACGGAGCGAAGCGACGUCAAAGCGUAUACAAAGUCGAGUCGGUUUAAGGAUACGUUCGUUGGGUAGGGGAGCGUUCUGUAAGCCUGUGAAGGUGGCCUGUGAGGGUUGCUGGAGGUAUCAGAAGUGCGAAUGCUGACAUAAGUAACGAUAAAGCGGGUGAAAAGCCCGCUCGCCGGAAGACCAAGGGUUCCUGUCCAACGUUAAUCGGGGCAGGGUGAGUCGACCCCUAAGGCGAGGCCGAAAGGCGUAGUCGAUGGGAAACGGGUUAAUAUUCCCGUACUUGGUGUUACUGCGAAGGGGGGACGGAGAAGGCUAUGUUGGCCGGGCGACGGUUGUCCCGGUUUAAGCGUGUAGGUGUGUGUUCCAGGUAAAUCCGGUUCACUUUAACACUGAGGCGUGAUGACGAGGCACUACGGUGCUGAAGCAACAAAUGCCCUGCUUCCAGGAAAAGCCUCUAAGCAUCAGGUAACAUCAAAUCGUACCCCAAACCGACACAGGUGGUCAGGUAGAGAAUACCAAGGCGCUUGAGAGAACUCGGGUGAAGGAACUAGGCAAAAUGGUGCCGUAACUUCGGGAGAAGGCACGCUGACAUGUAGGUGAAGUGAUUUACUCAUGGAGCUGAAGUCAGUCGAAGAUACCAGCUGGCUGCAACUGUUUAUUAAAAACACAGCACUGUGCAAACACGAAAGUGGACGUAUACGGUGUGACGCCUGCCCGGUGCCGGAAGGUUAAUUGAUGGGGUCAGCGCAAGCGAAGCUCCUGAUCGAAGCCCCGGUAAACGGCGGCCGUAACUAUAACGGUCCUAAGGUAGCGAAAUUCCUUGUCGGGUAAGUUCCGACCUGCACGAAUGGCGUAAUGAUGGCCAGGCUGUCUCCACCCGAGACUCAGUGAAAUUGAACUCGCUGUGAAGAUGCAGUGUACCCGCGGCAAGACGGAAAGACCCCGUGAACCUUUACUAUAGCUUGACACUGAACAUUGAGCCUUGAUGUGUAG